UACGGAGGGGGCUAGCGUUGUUCGGAAUUACUGGGCGUAAAGCGCACGUAGGCGGCUUUGUAAGUUGGAGGUGAAAGCCCGGGGCUCAACUCCGGAAUUGCCUUUAAGACUGCAUCGCUCGAAUUGUGGAGAGGUAAGUGGAAUUCCGAGUGUAGAGGUGAAAUGCGUAGAGAUCCGGAGGAACACCAAAGGCGAAGGCAGUGUCCUGGGGAGUACCUGACGCUCAGGUGCGAAAGCCAGGGGAGCGAACGGG
rnacentral:rRNA from 1 species